rnacentral:rRNA from 1 species
UACGAAGGUCCCGAGCGUUGUUCGGAAUCACUGGGCGUAAAGGGAGCGUAGGCGGCGUGGCAAGUCAGAUGUGAAAUCCCGGGGCUCAACCCCGGAACUGCAUCCGAUACUGCCGUGCUUUGAGGGUUGGAGAGGCAGCUGGAAUUCACGGUGUAGCAGUGAAAUGCGUGGAUAUCGUGAGGAACACUCGUGGCGAAAGCGAGCUGCUGGACAACACCUGACGCUGAGGCUCGAAGGCCGGGGGAGCGAAAGGG